AGGGUGAUAGUUUAAAAAAAACCUUUAAAUUGCAAUUAAAAAAUAUUGACAUAAUUCAUCUUA
rnacentral:tRNA from 1 species